rnacentral:rRNA from 1 species
GGGAGGUAGUGACAAUAAAUAACAAUACGGGGUUCUAAAGGAUUUCGUAAUUGGAAUGAGUACAAUUUAAAUCUCUUAACGAUGAACAAUUGGAGGGCAAGUCUGGUGCCAGCAGCCGCGGUAAUUCCAGCUCAAUAGCGUAUAUUAAAGUUGUUGCAGUUAAAAGCUCGUAGUUGAAUUUCGGGGUUAGUAGGUUGGUCAUGCCUCUGGUAUGUACUGAUCUCACUGAUUCCUCCCUCUUGACGAGCUGUAAUGUCGUUAAUUUGGUGUUGCGGGAAAUUUGGACUGUUACUUUGAAAAAUUAGAGUGUUUAAAGCAAGCUAACGCUUGAAUACAUUAGCAUGGAAUAAUGAAAUAGGACGUUCGAUCCUAUUUUGUUGGUUUCUAGGAUUGACGUAAUGAUUAAUAGGGAUAGUUGGG